CUCAGUAAAGUUAUUUCAAGAAUUGUGAAUCAAAAGAAAAAUCAAUGGCAUAUUUAUCUUUAUCAAGAUCCAGGCUGUGCUGAUAUUAAGUCAUCAGACAAAGUCAUUCUUAUUCUAAGUUGUAUUUAAAUGGUAUUCAAAAUGGUAUUUAACUUGAGAAAAAAUAAUCUUAAGAAUUUUUUUUCUGCUUCUUUCCAAGAUCUUAGUGAAAAGCUUAAAUCUGAUUUUAUACUAUUUCUGCCCAAGCAACUACAUUAGCUGGAAGACAUCAGUGGCAAAGUAAUCACUACAAUAAAUAAAUAAACCCAAAGGGAAGAAUGAGACUGUGUGAAAUUAUAGAAUUAUAGCACAAAUUAUAGCAAAUUAUAGCACAAAGUCCAGAAGCAGUAUCCAAGUACAAACAAAAGUACUUAUAUUCUUUUCUUUUAUCAAAACUGUCAGUUUAGCCAUCUCUGCUAACUCCAUCAGCUUUUGUAACCGUUCAUCCAAGAUGGGAAUGGAAGCAUCCUUCCAGGAAUUCCAGGAUUCCUAGGACUACAGCAAGUUUUCUCUGACCACACAGAUCCAUCUCUGCUGAUCUCCUGCAGCAGCUCAAAUAAAUCAGCCAUUAACCCAGGUUUGAAGUCUGACUCAAAGAUGAAUUAGCUGACAGGAAUGCAAGGAAAAGAAAUGCGAACAGCAGAUAAAGGAUCUUCAUGCUGAGACUGGUUCUGGACAAAAUCUUACUCCUUGGACAGACUUGGCUCUCUAUUUAUGGAGUUGUAAUGAUUGCAUCAUAUCACCUCAGUGAACUGUUGCAAAAUAGUUCUUACCUAAGGCAACGGUGCAUCUUCCUUGUAUUGAAACACUCCUGUUUGUUAGCUGUUACAAAAGCCCUGAGAAGAGCAGCAGACUUAGUUGAACAUCUAACCUGCUAUGGCUAUAAAAGAUGGGAGGCUCAGGACUUGCA